rnacentral:rRNA from 1 species
UACAGAGGGGGCAAGCGUUAUUCGGAAUUAUUGGGCGUAAAGGGCGCGUAGGCGGCCAUUCAAGUGACGGGUGAAAGCCCUCGGCUUAACCGAGGAACUGCCUGUCGGACUGGAUGGCUUGAGACCGGGAGAGGUGAGUGGAAUUCCCAGUGUAGCGGUGAAAUGCGUAGAUAUUGGGAGGAACACCAGUGGCGAAGGCGGCUCACUGGACCGGAACUGACGCUGAGGCGCGAAAGCGUGGGGAGCAAACAGG